rnacentral:rRNA from 1 species
CGGCGCACGGGUGCGUAACGCGUAUGCAAUCUACCUUUUACAGAGGGAUAGCCCAGAGAAAUUUGGAUUAAUACCUCAUAGUAUAGCAGUUUCGCAUGAAACCACUAUUAAAGUCACAACGGUAAAAGAUGAGCAUGCGUCCCAUUAGCUAGUUGGUAAGGUAACGGCUUACCAAGGCUACGAUGGGUAGGGGUCCUGAGAGGGAGAUCCCCCACACUGGUACUGAGACACGGACCAGACUCCUACGGGAGGCAGCAGUGAGGAAUAUUGGACAAUGGGCGCAAGCCUGAUCCAGCCAUGCCGCGUGCAGGAUGACGGUCCUAUGGAUUGUAAACUGCUUUUAUACAGGAAGAAACCCUGGUUCGUGAACCAGCUUGACGGUACUGUAAGAAUAAGGAUCGGCUAACUCCGUGCCAGCAGCCGCGGUAAUACGGAGGAUCCAAGCGUUAUCCGGAAUCAUUGGGUUUAAAGGGUCCGUAGGCGGUUUAAUAAGUCAGUGGUGAAAGCCCAUCGCUCAACGGUGGAACGGCCAUUGAUACUGUUAAACUUGAAUUAUUAGGAAGUAACUAGAAUAUGUAGUGUAGCGGUGAAAUGCUUAGAGAUUACAUGGAAUACCAAUUGCGAAGGCAGGUUACUACUAA